UUGAACGCUGGCGGCAGGCCUAACACAUGCAAGUCGAGCGGAUGAAGGGAGCUUGCUCCUGGAUUCAGCGGCGGACGGGUGAGUAAUGCCUAGGAAUCUGCCUGGUAGUGGGGGAUAACGUCCGGAAACGGGCGCUAAUACCGCAUACGUCCUGAGGGAGAAAGUGGGGGAUCUUCGGACCUCACGCUAUCAGAUGAGCCUAGGUCGGAUUAGCUAGUUGGUGGGGUAAAGGCCUACCAAGGCGACGAUCCGUAACUGGUCUGAGAGGAUGAUCAGUCACACUGGAACUGAGACACGGUCCAGACUCCUACGGGAGGCAGCAGUGGGGAAUAUUGGACAAUGGGCGAAAGCCUGAUCCAGCCAUGCCGCGUGUGUGAAGAAGGUCUUCGGAUUGUAAAGCACUUUAAGUUGGGAGGAAGGGCAGUAAGUUAAUACCCUGCUGUUUUGACGUUACCAACAGAAUAAGCACCGGCUAACUUCGU
rnacentral:rRNA from 1 species